GCGGUAAUAGCUCAGUGGUAGAACCCCCGCUUUGCGUGCGGGGAGACCCGGGUUCGAAUCUCGGGUGCUUCC
rnacentral:tRNA from 1 species